GAUCUGGCUCAGGAUGAACGCUAGCUACAGGCUUAACACAUGCAAGUCGAGGGGCAGCAUGAACUUAGCUUACUAAGUUUGAUGGCGACCGGCGCACGGGUGAGUAACACGUAUCCAACCUGCCGAUGACUCGGGGAUAGCCUUUCGAAAGAAAGAUUAAUACCCGAUGGCAUAGUUCUUCCGCAUGGUAGAACUAUUAAAGAAUUUCGGUCAUCGAUGGGGAUGCGUUCCAUUAGGUUGUUGGG
rnacentral:rRNA from 1 species